rnacentral:rRNA from 1 species
UACGGAGGGGGCUAGCGUUGUUCGGAAUUACUGGGCGUAAAGCGCACGUAGGCGGCUUUGUAAGUUAGAGGUGAAAGCCCGGGGCUCAACCCCGGAAUUGCCUUUAAGACUGCAUCGCUAGAAUUGUGGAGAGGUAAGUGGAAUUCCGAGUGUAGUGGUGAAAUUCGUAGAUAUUCGGAAGAACACCAGUGGCGAAGGCGACUUACUGGACACAUAUUGACGCUGAGGUGCGAAAGCGUGGGGAGCAAACAGG